rnacentral:lncRNA from 1 species
CCAAAUUUUGAAUUUUGCUUAAAAUACAUGAUUUUGAUUCAAAAUUGAAUGAAAAUCACGGAAAUCAAGUUUAUUUUUCCAUUGGUCCUAUAGUUUUUCAACUAAACUUAAAAAACAGAGUUGGUGCUCUAACAGCACUUUAUUUUCGUUUAUUUAAAAAAUGGCUGGUUUAACGAGAAAACCAUAACGUAAUCGAAAUCAGUGUUCAAUUUUGAUAACAUUGUGUGAUGUGGCCUUUUUCUCCAAGGUUUAUCGGGAACUUUGGUAGUCGUUGAGUCCUUCUUUCAUCAAGAGUAAUGCGUAUUUUUAGGCGCAAUCUAAGGUCUAAGGCCGAAACAUUCCUAUUGAAUACCCUAGAAUGCAACAAUUGGGAUGGGGUGUGUGACUGUGUGUCCAAGUAACAAGUAACCCUUAAGUUUGUUUUCUUAGCUAAUUUUUGUGUUCCCAUCGAUAAUUCAGCUAUUGACUAUGGGUGUGUUAUUUACGAUCUAUUUCCCUUGUCAUCAGAUAGGCAAGGUGUUGAACCACGAAAUUGUUAGCAGCCCAGGAUGAAACUAUUUCAAACUAAAAGCACUAAGGAUGUGGACGCUGGAAGAAUUGUGAGCAUCUUAGGUCUGUCAAUUUUCAUCAUAUGAUGAUGGCAAUGCCAUUGUUCAGUGAGAGGAUUCAUAUUCUACCCAGCAAUCUACCCAUAAGCUUCAACGCUAUCAUCUUAUUAGGGCUGCCAGCCUUCGUCUUUGUUUCUACGCAAACCGCCGUCCAGACGAUUUCCGCAUUUCUAUCCAUCAGACUGCACGCAUUAAGUAA